UCGGGCUUCGACCGGCGUACGGGUGCGUAACGCGUAUACAAUCUGCCUUUCACAUAGGGAUAGCCCGAAGAAAUUUGGAUUAAUACCUAAUGGUAUAUAGAUGUGGCAUCACCUUUAUAUUAAAGCUGAGGCGGUGAAAGAUGAGUAUGCGUUCUAUUAGCUAGUUGGAGAGGUAACGGCUCCCCAAGGCUACGAUAGAUAGGGGUUCUGAGAGGGAUAUCCCCCACACUGGUACUGAGAUACGGACCAGACUCCUACGGGAGGCAGCAGUGAGGAAUAUUGGACAAUGGUCGGAAGACUGAUCCAGCCAUGCCGCGUGCAGGAAGACGGCCUUAUGGGUUGUAAACUGCUUUUGCAGGGGAAGAAUAAGGACUACGAGUAGUUUGAUGACGGUACUCUGCGAAUAAGCAUCGGCUAACUCCGUGCCAGCAGCCGCGGUAAUACGGAGGAUGCGAGCGUUAUCCGGAAUCAUUGGGUUUAAAGGGUCCGUAGGCGGGCUAAUAAGUCAGAGGUGAAAGCGCUCAGCUCAACUGAGCAACUGCCUUUGAAACUGUUAGUCUUGAAUGGUUGUGAAGUAGUUGGAAUGUGUAGUGUAGCGGUGAAAUGCUUAGAUAUUACACAGAACACCGAUAGCGAAGGCAUAUUACUAACAAUUAAUUGACGCUGAUGGACGAAAGCGUGGGGAGCGAACAGGAUUAGAUACCCCUGGUAGUCCACGCUGUAAACGAUGGAUACUAGCUGUUUGGUUGUAAGACUGAGUGGCUAAGC
rnacentral:rRNA from 1 species